CGUUAUCCGGAAUCAUUGGGUUUAAAGGGUCCGCAGGCGGACGUAUAAGUCAGUGGUGAAAUCCUACAGCUUAACUGUAGAACUGCCAUUGAUACUGUAUGUCUUGAAUUCGGUCGAAGUGGGCGGAAUGUGUCAUGUAGCGGUGAAAUGCAUAGAUAUUACACAGAACACCGAUUGCGAAGGCAGCUCACUAGGCCUGGACUGACGCUCAGGGACGAAAGCGUGGGGAGCGAACAGGAUUAGAUACCCUGGUAGUCCACGCCGUAAACGAUGAUUACUCGAUGUUGGCGAUAUACUGUCAGAGACUAAGCGAAAGUGAUAAGUAAUCCACCUGGGGAGUACGAUCGCAAGGUUGAAACUCAAAUGAAUUGACGG
rnacentral:rRNA from 1 species